rnacentral:lncRNA from 1 species
UUUAUGCCCUGUGAGGAUUCGGAAACCCAGACUCCCAGCUGAAGAAAUGGGCUUCCCAGGGGUCACACAGCCAUUUGCAGAUGUCAGCCCCAUGGGGCACCAAUGACUCACAUCUUCCCUCCAAGCUGAGCCAUAGACGCCUCCACCAGGAAGCCCUCUGGGAAGAAGACGGCCUCUGCGUCCCAGCUCUGUCCAGUGGCCUCCAAGGUCCCCACCCAGCAUCAGCCCUGAGCAUGAGCAGGCAUCGUGUGGGGGGUAAGCCGUUGGCAAGGCCACUUGGCUCUACCUUCAAGACAUACCAGAGCCUAACGCGUCCCGCCGCCUGGUCCCCUCCCGCUGGGACCUGCGCCCACCUCCUCACCGGCCCCUCCUCUGCACACAACCUCUGGAAAACCUUAAUCAGGUCAUAUCCCCGUCUUGGCCAGGCCCCC